AUUUAAUAUUAUAAAUCAACCUUAGUUGCACGGGAUUCGAACCGUUGCCCGGUUUGAUUGCAUUGAUAUCCGCAUCGUAAGCGAGAGCCUUAUCCCCACUGCUACCAGGUUAAACGUUAUCAAUCGGCAAAUCAAGCCAUUUAAACUGUACUUUGAAAAUGAUUGAAAUAUAUGAAAUAAUUCACUAAAAAUCUUGAUAAAACUAGGGGGGGGGGGGUCUCAACACUCGCAGGUGCGUGUAGCUCACAGCUUGAUGAUAUGAGGGAAAGUAAAUGUGUUUUAUAAAUCACAAGUCUACUACCAAUAAUUAUGCACACUUUUUAGAAUUUCGUAAAUUUUUCGUUUUUGUACCUUUUCGCAUGGACUGGCUCAUAUAAGAA
rnacentral:lncRNA from 1 species